CCAUGCGUGUGCUGAAGCCUUCCUCCCUCCCCUAUGUGACAACAUGUCAAAAGUGGGAACAGUUAAAGCUUGAAUGAAGGACCUUAACAUAAAGAACUAAGGAUUAGGGCAUUUACCAGACGAGAUCCCAGAGGGCUUGCUGUCACCUUACCAUGUGAGGUCAAGAGGGUAGAAGGCAGCCAUGUGCAAUUCAGGCACCAUGCCCUCUAAGGGUGGUUCAGAAACCACCCCUGCUAAGCCUUGAUCUGGGACUUGAAGACUCCAGCACUGUAAGAAGGCACAUGUUAUUUUGCUUAAGAUGAGGAACUGAGGUGCAGGAAGCAAGUACAACACCUUGUCUGAGGGUAACAGAUCGAGGGAGAGGUAGAGUCCAUCCACCAGGUAAGAGUGGGCCGGAAGUCUGUGGUCAGGAAGGCUCCUCUAAGAAGGAAUCACAUGCAGUAACCAACCGGAAGGAGUGCUCCAGGCAAGAGCUAUGAGUGCUCUUCUGGGAAGUGGUGAACAUGAGGGAAGACCCCUAAGGAGAAAGCCAGGAGCCGGAUUUGGAAUAAUUAAAGAAAUCUUUUUUGUUGUUGUUUUGUUUUUUGUUUCCCAAGCCAGGGUUUUUCUGUGUAGCUCUGGAACUCACUCUGUAGACCAGGCUGGCCUCAAACUCACUGAGAUCUGCCUACCUCUGCCUCCUGAGUGCUGGGAUUAAAGGCAUGCGCCACCAACGCCCGGCUCAUGUAAUUCUGAUGGUUGGAAGAUUACCCCAAGUUCAGUGUGUGCCUUUCUGUCUCUCCCUUAUUCCCUCCCUCUCUCCCUUUCUUCUCUCCUGUCUUUUCCUCCCCCCUCUCUCUCUACCCUCUCCCUUCUCCCUAUUUCCCUUCCCAGUCUUUCUCCUCUCGUCUUUUUCUCCCCUCCUCCUCUCCUGUCUUCUUCUCUUCCUUUCUUCCCUAUCCUCUAUCGUCUCCUGUUCUCUCUCUCUCUCUCUCUCUCUCUCUCUCUCUCUCUCUCUCUCUCUCCUCCCUCUGAGGUAGAGGAUCACUACAUUGCCCAUAGGGCUCAAGCAAUCUCCUGAGAAGUUGGGAGUGCAGCUGGUGUGACCAUCCCUUUUGUGUCUGGGCUCCCUAUGGCUGGCAUCC
rnacentral:lncRNA from 1 species